rnacentral:rRNA from 1 species
AUUGAACGCUGGCGGCAGGCUUAACACAUGCAAGUCGAGCGAGCGGCGCACGUGUGAGAAAUGUCUGGGACACUGCCUUAUGGAGGGUGAUAACUACUGGAAACGGUAACUACUACCUCAUAUCAGCAGUGGCGCCCAGAUGGGAUUUGCUAGUAGGUGGGGUAAUGGCUCACCUAGGCGACGAUCCCUAGCUGGUCUGAGAGGAUGACCAGCCACACUGGAACUGAGACACGGUCCAGACUCCUACGGGAGGCAGCAGUGGGGAAUAUUGCACAAUGGGCGCAAGCCUGAUGCAGCCAUGCCGCGUGUGUGAAGAAGGCCUUCGGGUUGUAAAGCACUUUCAGCGAGGAGGCGUUACCCGCAGAAGAAGCACCGGCUAACUCCGUGCCAGCAGCCGCGGUAAUAC